rnacentral:rRNA from 1 species
AUUGAACGCUGGCGGCAUGCCUUACACAUGCAAGUCGAACGGCAGCGGGCCUUCGGGUGCCGGCGAGUGGCGAACGGGUGAGUAAUGCAUCGGAACGUGCCAUUGAGUGGGGGAUAACGUAGCGAAAGUUACGCUAAUACCGCAUAUUCUGUGAGCAGGAAAGCAGGGGACCGCAAGGCCUUGCGCUCUUUGAGCGGCCGAUGUCAGAUUAGCUAGUUGGUGAGGUAAAGGCUUACCAAGGCGACGAUCUGUAGCGGGUCUGAGAGGAUGAUCCGCCACACUGGAACUGAGACACGGUCCAGACUCCUACGGGAGGCAGCAGUGGGGAAUUUUGGACAAUGGGCGCAAGCCUGAUCCAGCCAUGCCGCGUGAGUGAAGAAGGCCUUGGUUGGUUAAAGACGUCUUUCGGUCCGGGAACGGAAAGUACGCAUGGGUUAA